AGUAAGUGAAACAGGACACAUGGAGAAAUAGCUAACUCUAUGGCCCAGUUGUUGUUUUUCAGAACCAUUGUUGCUUUUGACUAAGUCAAAGGCACAACAUUUCUUCUCCAUGCCUUUUAGUACACUAACAGAAAGCCAUUUACUUGUUUCACAGAACUUCGAUUCACAGAACUGAAAAGUGGAAAUGCAUGUGACGACUCCUGUGGCAACUAGUUCUUCUAGGAAGCAGCUAGAAGCACAGCACAAAAGUGAGGAGGCCUUCUUCCAUGGAACCAGGGUUAAUAAAAUCAGCACAAAGCCCGAGUUGAUUCCCCACCCUAAAAGUUCCUGGAGAGUGGGUCUGAGCAGCAGCCAUGUGGUCUGCCGAACUUCAAGCAAAAUAAAGCGAAAAAACAUCCAAUUGUCUCCAGGGCAAAACUGCAGACAUGAUGAGCCAAAUGUUUUCUUGGAAUUACUGAAACUGAGGCGGUCGGCAUUUAGACAAACAAAUACAAGACUGCACCAUAAAAUAUUAGGAAGACAUUGAGGGCUUUGUGUGCCCCCUAACACUACCCCGACGUUGACGCUGCCCCUUACAAGAACUUUAGAAAUGAUGUGGUGCUCUGGCCCCCAUAAGGCUAAUAGACCAAACAAGGUCAUUAAUUAUGCUUUGAAAGGUCCUCUUUUGGUAACAACACAAACUCAGACACACACAUGCACAUGACCGCUCACAUGUUCAGAGGCUAAACAGCGUUUACUGUACAAACACUAGAUUACAGCCAAACCUCUGGUACUACAAGCCGGGCAGGGAUUGGUUUACCUGCUGGCUCAUGCAGCCUGCUGUCACUGCUUUGUCUGAACAGCUCUUAAAGGGAUUGCUCAUUUUUUUGAGUGUUAAUCUGCUGAAAGGUUAUGAGCAGGUACUAAUCUAGCUAAGGCAGGUGAUGUAGUGACGGUCUUCACUUUGUAUAAAUACAUAAUCAUUUCUCGCAGAGGUUGAAGCUCAGGGCUGCUCUGAGAAUGGAAACAGAAAAGAGUUUAUGCAACUACUGCAUUGAAAACGGGUGGAAAUUAAUAAUCGAUUCUUGCUCAACAGUAAUAAAGGCUUAUUGUUUUG